rnacentral:rRNA from 1 species
GCAAUACCAGGUCUGUGAUGCCCUCAGAUGUUCGGGGCCACACGCGCGCCACAAUGAAGGAAUCAGCGUGUGCUUUCCCUGGCCGACAGGUCUGGGUAACCCGUUGAACCUCCUUCGUGCUGGGGAUAGGGGCUUGUAACUGUUCCCCUUGAACGAGGAAUUUCAAGUAAGCACGAGUCAUCAGCUCGUGUUGAUUACGUCCCUGCCCUUUGUACACACCGCCCGUCGCUAUUACCGAUGAAUGUUGGAGUGAGAUCUUCGGACUGGUGCGCGGACUGGACUUCGGUUCGAGCCGCCGUGCCGGAAAGAUGACCGAACUUGAAUAUUUAGAGGAAAUAAAAGUCGUAACAAGGCUUCCGUAGG